UAACUGAGAUUAGGCAAGAGCACGGAAAAUGGAAUGCAGACAUUGCUAAAUAGCAUCAUUUCCAUGAAGAAUGUAAACACUGUCAUUCUUGAAACAAGACGUCCAAUUACACGAGGAUCAGUGAUUUAGUUAUUCCAGACCCUAGCUACUACAAUCCAGGAUAUCAAUCUCCCAGCAGAGCAACAAAAACUGGGUGGGAGGGGCGGUGCGUAUGGCCAGCUGGAGGAAGGAACCUGCAGUCAUCUUCCACUUAUAAAAAAGUGGCUAUCUUCAGUUAAGCAAUGUUCCAUGUAACUGAAUAAUCCUUCAUGGAGAUAUAUGAAGAGUCAGCAGUGUCACCCUGUAAAACGAAGGACUGUGAUAUAUUUUAUUAGUGUGCAGUUGUAGGGUCAAGAAUACUAGGGAAUAACAAGGAAGAGCCUGUCUUCUUCAUUCUCAGUCCUAGCAGUGCUGGCACACACUUAGAAGCUACCAGGAGCUAUUUUAAGGAUGAGGAAACUCAAGUACUGGCAGUUCCUAACCCCAGUGCCGGGUUAACCCAGGGGACCAAUUGACGCCCAGUACAACUGUUUCUCACUGCAGAAACUGCCAAGCCAUCAUAAUUUUAGCUCGUAUUAUGACGCAGAGAGGAAAACAAAAGGAUGAUUUAUUUGAAGAUUAAAACUGUGCCUAUUUUAUGGACUCUGUAAGCUGUUGGAAACUCAAUUUUCGAGCCCUUUGAACUCAGGGUUGCCUCCAGAGUAUUUAAGGCAACCAGACAGACAAACAGCCACCACCACCACCAAAACAGAGGAGUUAAAAGCCUGCUUGAAUCACAGGACAGACAAUGGCAGUGCAUGUGAGUGACCCAGUGUUGUAGCACAAGACCUCAGAGCUCCUCUUCGCACCCACAGGGAUUUUGCCGCAGCGUGGGUGAUUAAGGACUUCACAUCUGCGGCUGUGCGCCCGCCAGAAAGUCUAAAUCAAAGUUUCCUCGUGUCAGGUGCGCAUCGGCACCCAUUUCCACCCUUUCAAUAAAGCAGAGAAUUGCUUCCACUGCCCUUGUUUUUUUCCUGAAGAGAAUUCAAGAUACCAUUUACAGCUCUCAGUCUGUGUUCUGGAAAAGAGGGUAGAAGGCCUUAGCACCAGUGUGCCAGCCUUCUGGAAAUGGAACAUAAUUUGCUCAUGCCAAAAAGAUUUUGGUGAGGCUUUGGCAGCUAGCCUAUUUGUCUGUGUCAAGGAUUACACUGCUUAUCACUGAGUCCCGAUACCUAGCCUGACGUGCAGUACGUACUCAAAAGUUGAUGAAUGGGAGAAUAAACUGCUGGUUUUUAAACUAGAAUACCACUGGCUCUCCUAUGACAACAAGACCCUGGGACUUCUCAGCCUCCACAACUAUGAGAGCCAAUUCCUUAUAUACCACAGAACCUGGUCCUCACUGGAUGGAAGUACAAAUGGAUACUAAAUGGAUACUAUGCAAUAAAGACAUUAUUAGUAUGAACAAAGUGCUUAGUAAUGAAGAAGAGAGAAUGAUUGGUUCUCCCUGACAAAUGAGGCACUAAUUAUAAAGGGAUUUGAAGAUGGUGGCAUUUACUCUCUUCAUCUGCUUUAUCCUCCAGUCUGGAUACUGGUUUCUACUGCCCGAAGUUACUCAACCCUCAUCGUUGUGGUUACAUUUUUACACUAUCCAAGUAUUUGUAGCCAAGGAAGACAUUGAAAAGUGUACCUGAGAUUGAGGGAAGUAUUUACAACUCAAAAGGGAAGACACUAAGAAUAAAUCAUAAUCUUGAUAAUGUUAAAAGUUUACAUUUUUAACCCUGAAGAGCAGGAAUCCACAAUCUAUGGCCCACCAACUAUGUCUGUAAUAAUAAAGUUUUAUUGGUAUACUGCUAUGCUCAAUU